UACGUAGGGUGCGAGCGUUAAUCGGAAUUACUGGGCGUAAAGCGUGCGCAGGCGGCUUGCCAAGUCAGAUGUGAAAGCCCCGGGCUCAACCCGGGAACUGCGUUUGAAACUGGCAGGCUAGAGUUUGGCAGAGGGGGGUGGAAUUCCACGUGUAGCAGUGAAAUGCGUAGAGAUGUGGAGGAACACCGAUGGCGAAGGCAAUCCCCUGGGCCUGCACUGACGCUCAUGCACGAAAGCGUGGGGAGCAAACAGGA
rnacentral:rRNA from 1 species